rnacentral:misc_RNA from 1 species
GUCGCUGUUCAAGCUGGUGUUUGCGUGGACAUCUUUGCUGUUACAAAUGAGUACACAGAUUUAGCAUCCCUUAAGUUUCUUAGCAUUGAAAGUGGAGGCUCAUUGUUUCUGUAUUCAAAUACUGAUGACUCAACACUUCCUCAGGACAUUUAUCGGAUGUUAAGUCGACCAUAUGCUUUUGGUUGUAUACUUCGAUUGAGGACAUCUUCUGAAUUUAAGCCUGGUCAUUCUUAUGGUCAUUUCUUCCCAGAUCCACAAUACGAAAAUGUUCAGCACAUUAUUUGUUGUGAUUCUUAUGCUACAUAUGUCUAUGACUUUGAUUUUGCGAGUACAGAUGGCUUUUCAAGACAUGCAUCAGAACAACCCGUGCUUCAGAUUGCAUUUCAGUACACGGUUGUUGUGCCUCCUGAAGAGCUUUCAAGUUCAGGAUUGGUUUCUGCAAGUGGAGGGAAGCAUGCCCUUAAACGGCGAUUGAGGAUCCGAACUUUGCAAUUUGGUGCUGCUCGAAAUGUUCACGAACUCUAUGACAGUGC